rnacentral:tRNA from 1 species
GGGGGUAUGGCGGAAUGGUAGACGCUACGGACUUAAAAUCCGUUGGCUUUAUUGACCGUGAGGGUUCAAGUCCCUCUACCCCCA